rnacentral:rRNA from 1 species
UACAGAGGUCCCAAGCGUUGUUCGGAUUCACUGGGCGUAAAGGGUGCGUAGGCGGUCGGGUAAGUCUGAUGUGAAAUCUCACAGCUUAACUGUGAAACUGCAUUGGAUACUAUCCGGCUCGAGGAAUGGAGGGGAGACUAGAAUACUUGGUGUAGCAGUGAAAUGCGUAGAUAUCAAGUGGAACACCAGUGGCGAAGGCGGCGUCCUGGCCUGCGACUGACGCUGUGGCGCGAAAGCUAGGGGAGCGAACGGG